rnacentral:rRNA from 2 species
UAAAGCUCUUUUACCCGGGAAGAUAAUGACUGUACCGGGAGAAUAAGCUCCGGCUAACUUCGUGCCAGCAGCCGCGGUAAUACGAAGGGGGCUAGCGUUGUUCGGAAUUACUGGGCGUAAAGCGUGCGCAGGCGGUCUCUCAAGUCAGGGGUGAAAGCCCAGAGCUCAACUCUGGAACUGCCCUUGAAACUGUGAGGCUCGAGUGCGGGAGAGGUGAGUGGAAUUCCCAGUGUAGAGGUGAAAUUCGUAGAUAUUGGGAAGAACACCGGUGGCGAAGGCGGCUCACUGGCCCGUUUCUGACGCUCAUGCACGAUAGCGUGGGGAUCAAACAGGAUUAGAUACCCUGGUAGUCCACGCCGUAAACUAUGGACGCUAGCCGUUGGGUAGCUUGCUAUUCAGUGGCGCAGCUAACGCAUUAAGCGUCCCGCCUGGGGAGUACGGCCGCAAGGUUGAAACUCAAAGGAAUUGACGGGGGCCCGCACAAGCGGUGGAGCAUGUGGUUU